CAUAAGCAGCAGCAGCAGCUGCUGCUGCUGCUGCUGCUGCUGCUGCUGCCGUUGCAGCAGCGGUAGCGGCUGCAGCAGCAGCUGCAGCUGUAGCAGUCGCAGCAGCUGCAGCAGCUGCAGCUGUAGCAGUUGCAGCAGCAGCGGCAGCUGCAGCAGCAGCGGCAGCUGCAGCAGCAGCUGCAGCAGUAGCGGCUGCAACAGCCGCGGCUGCAACAGCGGCAGCAGCAGCAGCUGCUGCUGCUGCUGCAUUUGCUG
rfam:Eimeria necatrix Houghton genomic scaffold, Enh_scaff74